rnacentral:rRNA from 1 species
GCACCACAAGAGGUGGGACCUGCGGUUCAAUUGGAUUCAACGCCGGAAAACUCACCAGGGGCGACAGCUGGUUGACGGCCAGAUUGGCGAUCUUGCCCGACUAGCUGAGAGGUGGUGCAUGGCCAUCGUCAGCUCGUACCGUGAGGCGUCCUGUUAAGUCAGGCAACGAGCGAGAUCCUCGCCCUUAGUUGCCAUCGGUGGAAAGCCGGGCACUCUAGGGGGACCGCUGGCGCUAAGUCAGAGGAAGGAGAGGGCGACGGUAGGUCAGUAUGCCCCGAAUCCCCUGGGCUACACGCGGGUCACAAUGCGCAGGACAAUGAGAUGCAACCCCGUAAGGGGAAGCCAAACCCAUAAACCUGCGCUCGGUUCGGAUCGAGGGCUGUAACUCGCCCUCGUGAAGCUGGAAUCUCUAGUAAUCGCGUGCCAACACCGCGCGGUGAAUGCGUCCCUGCUCCUUGCACACACCGCCCGUCAAGCCACUCGAGUGGGGUUUGGAUGAGGUCAGUUCAAGUUGUGCUGCUCGAAUCCGAGUUCUGCAAGAGGGGCU